UACGUAGGGACCAAGCGUUGUUCGGAUUUCCUGGGCGUAAAGGGCGCGUAGGCGGCAAUUCAAGUCAUCUGUGAAAUCUCCGGGCUUAACUCGGAACGGUCAGAUGAUACUGCUUUGCUAGAGUGCGGAAGGGGCAAUCGGAAUUCUUGGUGUAGCGGUGAAAUGCGUAGAUAUCAAGAGGAACACCUGAGGUGAAGACGGGUUGCUGGGCCGACACUGACGCUGAAGCGCGAAAGCCAGGGGAGCAAACGGG
rnacentral:rRNA from 1 species